rnacentral:rRNA from 1 species
UACGGAAGGCAGCAGUGGGGAAUAUUGCACAAUGGGCGCAAGCCUGAUGCAGCCAUGCCGCGUGUAUGAAGAAGGCCUUCGGGUUGUAAAGUACUUUCAGUCGUGAGGAAGGUGUUAAGGUUAAUAACCUUAGCAAUUGACGUUAGCGACAGAAGAAGCACCGGCUAACUCCGUGCCAGCAGCCGCGGUAAUACGGAGGGUGCGAGCGUUAAUCGGAAUUACUGGGCGUAAAGGGCACGCGGGCGGUUAAUUAAGUUGGAUGUGAAAUCCCCGGGCUUAACCUGGGAAUGGCAUUCAAGACUGGUUAGCUAGAGUCUUGUAGAGGGGGUAGAAUUCCAUGUGUAGCGGUGAAAUGCGUAGAGAUGUGGAGGAAUACCGGUGGCGAAGGCGGCCCCUGGACAAAGACUGACGCUCAUGUGCGAAAGCGUGGGGAGCAAACAGGGAUUAGAUACC